AUUGAACGCUGGCGGUAUGCCUUACACAUGCAAGUCGAACGGUAGAGGGGCAACCCUUGAGAGUGGCGAACGGGUGAGUAAUACAUCGGAACGAGCCCAUUCGUGGGGGAUAACGUAGCGAAAGCUACGCUAAUACCGCAUACGACCUGAUGGUGAAAGCGGGGGAUCGCAAGACCUCGCGCGAUUGGAGCGGCCGGUGGCAGAUUAGGUAGUUGGUGGGGGAAAGGCCUACCAAGCCUUCGAGCUGUAGCUGGUCUGAGAGGACGACAAGCCACAAGGGGACUGGGACACGGCCCAGACUCCUAGGGGAGGCAGCAGUGGGGAAUUUUGGACAAUGGGGGAAAGCCUGAUCCAGCCAUACCGCGUGCGGGAAGAAGGCCUUCGGGUUGUAAGCCGCUUUUGUCAGGGAAGAAAUCUUCUGGGCUAAUACCUCGGGAGGAUGACGGUACCUGAAGAAUAAGCACCGGCUAACUACGUGCCAGCCGCCGCGGUAACAC
rnacentral:rRNA from 1 species